CCUACGGGGGGCAGCAGUAGGGAAUCUUUCACAAUGGGCGAAAGCCUGAUGGAGCAACGCCGCGUGCAGGAUGAAGGCCCUCGGGUUGUAAACUGCUUUUAGAAGCGAGAAAUAUGAUGGUAACGUAUGAAUAAGGAUCGGCUAACUACGUGCCAGCAGCCGCGGUCAUACGUAGGAUCCGAGCAUUAUCCGGAGUGACUGUGUGUAAAGAGUUGCGUAGGUGGCAUAAUAAGUAGCUAGUGAAAUCUGGUGGCUCAACCAUUCAGACUAUUAGCUAAACUGUUAAGCUCGAGACCGUUAGGUGUAACUGGAAUUUCUAGUGUAGGAGUGAAAUCCGUAGAUAUUAGAAAGAACACCAAUAGCGUAGGCAGGUUGCUGGGACGGUUCUGACACUAAGGCACGAAAGCGUAGGGAGCAAACGGGAUUAGAUACCCUUGUAGUC
rnacentral:rRNA from 1 species